rnacentral:rRNA from 1 species
UACGUAGGGGGCUAGCGUUGUCCGGAAUCAUUGGGCGUAAAGCGCGUGUAGGCGGUCCGGUAAGUCCGCUGUGAAAGUCGGGGGGCUCAACCCUCGGAUGCCGGUGGAUACUGUCGGGCUUGAGUACGGAAGAGGCGAGUGGAAUUCCUGGUGUAGCGGUGAAAUGCGCAGAUAUCAGGAGGAACACCAAUUGCGAAGGCAGAUCUCUGGGCCGUAACUGACGCUGAGGAGCGAAAGCGUGGGGAGCGAACAGG